rnacentral:rRNA from 1 species
CGUGUAGGCGGUCGGCCAAGUCUGAUGUGAAAGCCCGAGGCUCAGCCUCGGAAGUGCGUCGGAAACUAGUCGGCUGGAGCGCGAUAGAGGAGGGUGGAAUUCCUGGUGUAGCGGUGAAAUGCGUAGAUAUCAGGAGGAACACCGGCGGCGAAGGCGGCCCUCUGGAUCGUUGCUGACGCUGAGACGCGAAAGCGUGGGGAGCAAACAGGAUUAGAUACCCUGGUAGUCCACGCUGUAAACGAUGGGUACUAGGUGUUCGGGGUAUUGACCCCCUGAGUGCCGCAGCUAACGCAUUAAGUACCCCGCCUGGGGACUACGCCGCAAGGUUAAA